UAAUACGUACUGGGCGAACGUUAUUCGGAAUCACUGGGCUUAAAGGGUGCGUAGGCGGCUUUCCAGGUCCGGUGUGAAAUCUCUCGGCUCAACCGAGAAAUGGCGCUGGAAACCGGAAGGCUUGAGUGUGCUAGGGGUGUGUGGAACUUCCAGUGGAGCGGUGAAAUGUGUUGAUAUUGGAAGGAACGCCGGUGGCGAAAGCGACACACUGGGGCACAACUGACGCUGAGGCACGAAAGCUAGGGUAGCGAACGGGAUUAGAUACCCCGGUAGUCCUAGCCGUAAACGCUGGGCACUAGUUGGGAGGGGUUUCGGCCUCUCCGGACGCAGAGAAAUCACUAAGUGCCCCGCCUGGGGAGUAUGGUCGCAAGGCUG
rnacentral:rRNA from 1 species